ACCCACCGCACCCACCACUAAACCCACCACCCCACCCACCGCACCCACCACCGCACCCAGCAGCUUUCUCUGAUUCACGUCAAGGCGGCCCCCAAUGGUCUUUAGUUGGUCUAGAACUGUGCAUCGCUAGGCAGUCUUUAGCAGCUUUCUCUGCCUCACGUCAAGGCGAGCCCCCAAUGGUCUUUAGUUGGUCUAGAACGGUGCCUCGCUAGGCAGUCUUUAGCAGCUUUCUCUGCCUCACGUCAAGGCGGGCCCCCAAUGGUCUUUAGUUGGUCUAGAACGGCGCCUCGCUAGGCGGUCUUUAGCAGCUUUCUCUGAUUCACGUCAAGAUGGGGCCCAAGGUCUUUAGUUGGUCUAGAACGGUGCCUCGCUAGGCAGUCUUUAGCAGCUUUCUCUGCUUCACCCCAAGGCGGGCACUCAAUGGUCUUUAGUUGGUCUAGAACGGUGCCUCGCUAGGCAGUCUACGGCCUGCCCCAUGGUCUCUUCCCUCGUGGUGUCCACCGUGGGGGAGUUUUCGCUAUGGACUCAGCGGGUUCCAUUCUCAGCACAUAUCCCAGAGUCUUUCUCCCUGUUAUGUCUCGCGUUGUGCGUCUUAAUUUGGUCUCGAUGUUACAGGUCCCGGUUCGAAAUCUUGUUUGGCCAGAAGAUGCAGUUGUUGUGAAAGGUUGAUUGGGGAGUUCAUGUCUGCCUAUCAAGGGUGGGGGGGGGGGGGGCUAAUUAUUGUCGUUUUAAAAUUAAUGUAUUAUCAAAUCGUUUAAAUAUGUAUUUAUUGUCGUUUUAAAUGAAUGAAUUAUCAAAUCGUUUUAAAUAUUUAUGUUAUUUAUUUUUACUUUUUGUAUUUUUCAAACGCGAUGUCGGCGGUGGAGUUUAAUUUUUAGCUUAGGAAGUCGAUUGUCCCCAACAACAUCCCUUACUUCACAGUCCAGUAAGUUCCCGGGUUGCGGAAGACCCGGGGACUUACGGAGAUCCGACCUUAGGGGAAAUGCCCCCACCCACCCCACCCCCAUCGAGUCGCGUGAAACAAAAACAUGAAAUACGCCUAAAACGUCUGCGUUAGUCACGCGAGCGCCAAGAAGUGCGGCGCGGCGACGUCGCGGAUGAACACCGCGGAGCGAGGAGGCGUAAGUCGGCCGACCGCCUUACGCCUCCUCGCUCCGCCAAAUCGCCACCCUCGCCGAACUUCGCCAGGAUUAAGGGGAUUGGGAUAUCUUUGGUUUGUAGCGUUGCUGAGAUUAUUUUCCAUUUGUAGCACCGCGUCAUCGUUUGUUCCCUGGAUGCACGAGUUUAAUAACGGUGGUGGUGGCGGGGGGGGGGUGUAGUGUCUGGGUAGAUCUUCGGUGAAAUUAAAGAAUCGUUGGAGGUGCGGGAAGCGUGCGGGCAGCGACGCGAUGCGGGCAGCGAUAGAGAAGCGGCGACAGCGCGAUACGGCGACGAGAGAAAACGAAACCCAGCCAUCGGGUCGUAGGGGAGGCCAAAACUAUUUCCGGCUAUGGGAUGUUUAUCGUUGAUUUUGGGCGGGGGGGGAGGGGAGAUUUGUUCAGUUUCCGACACGCAGAAAAGCCGGGGUUACGGAUCGCUCUGGGGAACCUUUCCGUGAGCCGGGGACUGUCCGAAUUAAGCCGACGGUGGACAAGCCGUUGACAAUCCACCACGCGCGGUUAUUUUGUUUUCGAAGGCCGCGUCGUCCCUGUCCGGGAGUUGCGGGAUAUGCCCCGUCCACCACGAAGUUGGUCCAGCGGAAGGCCAGGCCACGUGCGGGUCGGGUAACGCUCGGGUGCUCCCGCCACUAUCCUACCAACGUCGAACCGCGAGCGACGGUCAUCUCGAGUCUGGAGCGUCGCCACCCUCGCACGUCGCCCCCGGUGAGAACGAACGUUCGUCUCGUUCGUCGUUGAAGCCCCCGCGCGUCGCUCCCCGGCUGAACGGUGGGUGGAGCUUGCCGGCAAGGGCCUGGCAAACCGGCCGGCGUGUUGUGGCGGGGUGGCGCCGGCCCUGCCGAUGAGACCCCGGUUGGCGAAACGUCGGGCGCUCGGAGUUCGCACGUCGCACAUCGUACGCGGCUCGAGCGUGAGGCCGACGGACCGGAAGGCCGCUUUGGUGAGACGCGGAAACAAGGGACGCCGUUUGUUGAUGUUUAUCGAGCCGUUUCUUUUAACGCAUCGACGCGAUAUUUCAACGUGACCGAUCGACUGACCGAGCAAUCGAGCGACCGAGCCAGCGACUGAGCGAGCGCGAGUCCACUCCACCCUUCUCCCCGAGACUACCGACCCAAUCAUAAGCGCCCCUUCCCCACAUUGCGGUGAGACCACAUUGUUACCUGUAAUUGUUGAUUCUAAAACAACAAAAUAACGAUAAUACUAAUUUAGAGUAACAUUUUUGCGUGUAAAUUAAAGCGAUUCAAGCCCCA